AUUGAACGCUGGCGGCAUGCCUUACACAUGCACGUCGAACGGUAACAGGUCUUCGGAUGCUGACGAGUGGCGAACGGGUGAGUAAUACAUCGGAACGUGCCUAGUAGUGGGGGAUAACUACUCGAAAGAGUGGCUAAUACCGCAUGAGAUCUACGGAUGAAAGCAGGGGAUCGCAACACCUUGUGCUACUAGAGCGGCCGAUGGCAGAUUAGGUAGAUGGUGGGAUAAAAGCUUACCAAGCCGGCGAUCUGUAGCUGGUCUGAGAGGACGAUCAGCCACACUGGGACUGAGACACGGCCCAGACUCCUACGGGAGGCAGCAGUGGGGAAUUUUGGACAAUGGGCGCAAGCCUGAUCCAGCAAUGCCGCGUGCAGGAUGAAGGCCUUCGGGUUGUAAACUGCUUUUGUACGGAACGAAAAGCCCUGGGUUAAUACCCUGGGGUCAUGACGGUACCGUAAGAAUAAGCACCGGCUAACUACGUGCCAGCCGCCGCCGUAAUAC
rnacentral:rRNA from 1 species